rnacentral:lncRNA from 1 species
GGUGGUGGGGGCGGGGGGGAAGAAAUAGUAAGUAAAGUAAUUCUGUCAUCUUAUUUUCUUUGCCACAGAAAUCUCAUGAAGGAAAAAAAUGCCUUAGAGUGAACAGGAUAGCUGCACAGAAAGAUUCAAUAAAUUUCACUAUAAUAAGUUUGUAAGUCAUAUUCUUAAAGCUAAAAUGACUAAGUGUUAUUGUUAUGGAAUUCAGAUGAUAAAAGCUGACUUUAUAGCAGAUUAUUCAUUAGGAAGACUCAUUUAGUUCCGGGCUCGCACUUUCUGUCAGGACUUUCUGUUUGCAAAGUAUUCCAGGAAGCCAAGUAAGCAGUCAGGCUGCGUGGAAUAAUUCCUGAAAAUUAACAGAAAUAAGGCAAGUGUUUCAUCUCUUUCCAGUAACAGCCUGGCAAGUUAAGUGAUGGUAAAAUGUCUGCAUUGUGUCUUGUGUUUCUCCAAAGCCAGAGUUUUUGUUUCGCAGUCAUUGAUCGACAAAACUUUCCUUUCAGAUGUGGAC